AUGGCAGCCAGCCCGGCCCGGCCUGUGGCCUCAACCCCUCUGCACCCCCCAGUCUCAGGUCCUGGAGCCUCAGAGGCAGAUGCCGGAGAUGGGCUGAGGUCCCGGCCUGCCCCAAGCAGGUUGGGGACGGGCAGGGUCUGCAUGGAGGGUGGGCUGAGUACCGGCAGAGGGCGAGGACAGCACUGGCCGAUACCCCGUCGGACUCCAGGAGGGUCCUGGGGACCUGCAGGGGGGUCGGGGUGCCUCCUGCCCCGUGGGUGCCCCUCCCGGGUGCUGGGAUGUGGGGAGCUCACUCUGUGUUCCAGUCUAGGCGACUCCACCUGGGGCAGGCCAGGACCACCCCAUCCUCAAGGAGGCCCCCUGCCUGCCCCCCAUGGCGUCUCUCCAGGGUUGGCGAGCACACCACCACAGCGGGAUCAGCUGGGGGAGGAGUUGGUGCCACCCCGAGGGCGGCACAGAGGUGAUCAUCUGCUGGGACUGGUCCCUCACUACUGGGCGGCCCGGAGACCCAGGCCCAGGGCAGAGCCCCAGUGCGGUUGGAAAGCUGGCGUUCCAGUCCCAGCUUUGGCUCCCAUGGCCGGAGCCUCGGCCCACACUGGCCUCAGUUUCCCCGUCCGCUCCCCGGUCCGUAGGCACGAUGGUCCAGCGGCCUCCCAGCCCGCCUGCAGGCAUUCUGGGGGUGAUGGACUGAGUUGGGCCUUCUUACCUUCCCAGAGCGCACCGGUCAGGCCAGGGGCGUGGCGGGGGUGGCCAGGGCCUCCCGGGCCUCCUGGGACCCUCCCAGGAGCCCUCGAUGCCAGGCUUCUGGCCUCGGCAGGCUCAGGAGCAGAUGGACCGAGCCCCCGGCAGAGGCCCGCACAGGCAUCUGGGGCGGCUCGAGGGGCGCUGGGCGCAGCGUGUGAGCCAGGGAGGGGAGGACCAGAGCACGGGGCAGGGGAGAGCAGGGCUUCCUGUUUACCCCCUGCGGUGGCCCCUGGCCUCGGGGACAGGAUGGCUCUGUCAGCCAGACUCCCGCCAGAUGCAGCUGACCCUUCAUCCAGGGACGCGUGCGCCUGGUCCAGUGACCCGUCCCCGGCAGGACGGGAAGGGAGCUCGCUUUCCCCUAGGCCCAGGGAGUUGUGUACAGAGUUGGAUUGGGUCCCAGAGGGAACGGGAGGUCCCACGGGGAGAUUGGGGGUCUGUCCGGCAGCCGGGGGUCUUCAGCUCCACCCAGGCCCCCAAUGA
ensembl:lncRNA